GUGGCACGACCAUUUAAUAGGUUUAGGGAGCAAAUAGUUUUCCACACAGAGCCAGGUGGGUUGUCCUGAUGGGGGUCUGUGAUGCAUCGGCCAGGAUCCAUCAUGAAUUAGUACAGGAUGGAGAUCUGACAGAUUAUACUACUGUGACCACUGCAGACUGUUGCCAGGACUUUCAGACUGCAUCUCCAGGAAGGUAUUUUUCAAGAGAGGAAUAUUAUUUUCUCAGUAUUUAUGAGACUAAUGUCUAAACUUUAGGGUUUGUGAAUGUUUUACGUUAUUACGAAGCCAUAAUAGAAGGCGAUGAAGUGUCGGACUCCAGUACAUUAUGGUGUGCAGUCCAUAGUACUGUGUAUCCAACAAUCACCUUUAUGUGCCUGUUUCAUUUAAAAUGUUUGGAUUUUAUGACACUCGAAUGGCAACUUGACCCGCAGAUGCACGAUUCUCUAAAUACACUCGUUUUGGUCUUUCCUCUGCCGCUUUCAGCAAUAUACUCUUUACCUCAGCAGUGUCCCGUGUGCCGAGUGAGUAGACAGAGUGGUCAGACUGUGCUGAGCUCUGCAGCGGUCACAAUCUGCAGCAGGAGCAGGACAAUCCUGUAGGAGCCACUCAGUUUAUGCAAUCCCUGUCCCAAUUUUGAGAAGGGCACUUUCUGUGCAGAGUGCUGUUCCAAGCAAGGACACUGUAAAAACCUACUUCAGUACAAGUGGGCGGGUCAUACAUUUUUUAAUUUACUUUUUAAGAAAAAAGGAGCAUCUGUAACUGUGAGGCCUCCUUUUGAUUCAUAUCUAAUAAUCUCACAACAGGCAAAAUUUGAGAAGUUGUGUCAUAAAUCCCCAAAUUAGCAAAUUCGGUCACAGACUCAGAGACAGUUGACAGGUUUAGAAGCUUUAUUGCAGACAUAAUUUUAAUUGUACUGAGCAGAGAUAUUUUGACAAGAUAAUUUUUCCAACCCACCUACUGAGACACGGGGAAGUGAGUGCGAUAUAAGGAAACAACACUGAGAGGAAAACUAGGUGAAGAGGUGAGUCAAAAAGGUAAGCAAGAACACAUAGCAUAAAAAAAAUCUUGUCUAACUAGAUCCUUGUGUUUCCACUGAGUAGCUGUACAGCCUAGAAAGGAAUCGGUGGAAGAAUGGAUCGUUAAAUACACAGCAAGCUUGAUGAGGAAAUGGUUAGGUGUGCUUCAUGAAGCUCAGUUGGCGUUUGACUGAGGGGACCGCCUAGAGCAGUCCCAGAGGAACAGCGGGACUUACCCACCUGAGAGGAAAGAGAAGUAUGGAGGGAAAAGACAGAACGAGGGGAUCCUGACAGAUGGAUAGGGGGGCUGAUACUGCCAAGACCAUAACAAGCUAUCUGUUUUUAGGAAAUCUUUGAUGGCUUGCUUUGGCAAACAUAUGAUUAGUUGAUCAGGGCCUUCUGACUCUUACUGUCUCUCAUCUUACAUCCAGAAGUGACCACACAUUUGAGGUUGUAACACAUAAACUUGGGUUUCCUCACACUACAAGUUUGGCUGGAAAACUUGCUGAAAGUUCACUUUUAUAGGAUAGUUCUUCCUUGAUCUCACUCCCAUUAUUUUUGGCCAUACUUUAAAAAUCAAAGUGUGCAUGUUGGAAUGAAUGUAUGACCAUAUGUUUGACUUCAUGCUUGAACAUGUAGCACUUUGUAACGUUUUAAAGUGCUUUACAAAUAAUGUUUUCUUCUUGUUCUCCGCAGCAUGUACGUAUUUUGAAUAAAAACAUAUGCAUUUGAUGUGGAACAUGAACAUCAAAGAAGGCUGCCAGCAGAGUAAGGGCCCACAUACCAGGUGGAUGCAGUACUUGAGGGAGGGGCACCGUGUGUGUGUCGUGUGCCGGCCACCUGCUGGCGCUGCUGGAUGAAACACUUUGCUGGAGACGAAGAGGAAAACAACACGGAUAGGCUGAAGACAGUUUAAGUAUUUUGCAUGGAAACAUCAAAGCUAAUUGUCUGCUUUGUUUCACCAGGAUGUGCUUGACAGUCAGCAACACUGAAUUUAGAUUUGAGUUGUUCAGGAAAUAUCAAUAAUCAAGUGAGAUAGGUAAGGUAUGCUUGAAUACCUUACCUAUCUCACUUGAUUAUUGAGUGUUUCGUGACCCAUAGACUGUAUAUAAGAGAUGGACUUACAGGUUCCAGAUAAAGCUAUUAUUGAUGUGCCCUAAACCUGCAUUUCAUCUGGAUGCAAAAGCUAAAUUAGAUUUCAUAGAGAUCUUUGGUAAAAUGACCCUAUUGCGUGCUUCAGGUAUGACACGUCCAUGAUGAGUAAGCUCAUGUCUAGUUUCAAAUUUGACUGAAUACAGCAUGAUAGUUAAUCUCUAAACUAAGAUCCGGUGUAGGGUCAAAUUGAUGAAUGAAACCCAGUGUUCUUCUGGUCGUGGCUACAGUCUGAUUGAUGUAGCUCAGAAACCAAUCAUUUUGAUGUGAAGGAGAAAAAUUUAAGUUCACUACACCAAUGUGGCCUUUCUGCCACUCUUCACUGCAGAGUUAUCUUAAAUACUCCUGAUCUCAUUUCUAUUUGAGUCACACUGCACUAGUCCAUAUCUAUUUUUAUUUGGUCCAUUUGUUGCUAUUGAACAACCACUGCUGGUCCCAAAGCUGGAUAAAUGGGAGGGUUGCAUCUGGUGUAAAAACAAAUAAGGAGAUUAAUCUGCUGUGGGGAAUGAGGGGGCAGUUUACUAAUGCUAAAAGUAAUUUUAAAAAGUAAUUAAAAUACAUUAACUAAAAUUAUGAUUUAAGAACUCGGUAAAUGUUUUCAUGUCUUAUUUAGGAUUGGCCCUAAUAACAUAAAGACAAGACAAUACAUCUGCAUUUUGAGAGGUUCAGGGGUAGCUUAAGUGCAGCUAUACUGUAAUGAAACAGUCUGAGUCACAUUUCCAGGGAUUUUUGUUCGUUUGUUUUGUUUUUCAUCUCAGAUUUCUGAUCUGAAACUUAUCGUUUCAGCCUAAUUGGUUAACAGUGACCACUAGAUGGCAACAUUGCUUAUCACUUGAGUUUAAGGCAAAGACCUGUGACCACUAAAUAAUUUCUCCCUUCCCCCCCUGCAGAAGACAGUCUCUCCAGUGGCAGGCAGUGGGAAACCCUAGAUGCAGGGGAGUGUGGAGACAUGUGGGGAGGCUGGAAGCUUGCUCCAGCUCAACAGUCAACAGCUUCCUCUUCAUCUAACCUUGUCCUGCUUCCUUCUGAUGGCCUGGAUUCUGUACAUCCAAUGAUCACUUAGAUUCCAAUUCAGUUUUAUUUACAUAGCACCAAAUUACAACAAUAGUUGCCUCAAGGCUCUUUAUAUUGUAAAGUAAAGACCCUACAAUAAUACAAAGAAAGACCCAACAA